rnacentral:rRNA from 1 species
CGGGUGAGUAACACGUGGGUGAUCUGCCCUGCACUUCGGGAUAAGCCUGGGAAACUGGGUCUAAUACCGGAUAGGAGCCAUUUUUAGUGUGAUGGUUGGAAAGUUUUUUCGGUGUAGGAUGAGCUCGCGGCCUAUCAGCUCGUUGGUGGGGUAAUGGCCUACCAAGGCGGCGACGGGUAGCCGGCCUGAGAGGGUGGACGGCCACAUUGGGACUGAGAUACGGCCCAG